rnacentral:rRNA from 1 species
AGAGUUUGAUCCUGGCUCAGGAUGAACGCUGGCGGCGUGCCUAAUACAUGCAAGUCGAGCGAAUUGUUGAGUUUACUCAACAAUUAGCGGCGGACGGGUGAGUAACACGUGGGCAACCUGCCUAUAAGACUGGGAUAACUUCGGGAAACCGGAGCUAAUACCGGAUAUGUUCUUUUCUCGCAUGAGAGAAGAUGGAAAGACGGCGUCUCGCUGUCACUUAUAGAUGGGCCCGCGGCGCAUUAGCUAGUUGGUGAGGUAAUGGCUCACCAAGGCAACGAUGCGUAGCCGACCUGAGAGGGUGAUCGGCCACACUGGGACUGAGACACGGCCCAGACUCCUACGGGAGGCAGCAGUAGGGAAUCUUCCGCAAUGGACGAAAGUCUGACGGAGCAACGCCGCGUGAACGAUGAAGGCUUUCGGGUCGUAAAGUUCUGUUGUUAGGGAAGAACAAGUACCAGAGUAACUGCUGGUACCUUGACGGUACCUAACCAGAAAGCCACGGCUAACUACGUGCCAGCAGCCGCGGUAAUACGUAGGUGGCAAGCGUUAUCCGGAAUUAUUGGGCGUAAAGCGCGCGCAGGUGGUUCCUUAAGUCUGAUGUGAAAGCCCCCGGCUCAACCGGGGAGGGUCAUUGGAAACUGGGGAACUUGAGUGUAGAAGAGGAAAGUGGAAUUCCACGUGUAGCGGUGAAAUGCGUAGA